rnacentral:lncRNA from 1 species
GGCCAGCCCCAGUGAGCAUGCACAUGCAUGGCAGGCACUUCCUCCCUGAGCCAAGCCACCAAGCCUGCCUCAAUGCCUGGAUAGCUGACAGAGAGACACCUGAUCCACAGACACCAAUGAGGAAAGGACAUGCAGCUGAGUCAGCCGCCUGAGCCAAUAGGGCCUUGAGAGGGGGUAUAAAGGAAGGUUUAACUUCUUUAAUAAAUAAGUCUGCAGCAAGCUCUGUGACUCACUGACUCCCAGUGCCUGAGUCCAAGGGGUGUCCAAGCAGGGUAACCCAAAACAACAGAAGGCCCAGAGAUUGACGUGGCAGGCUCUAAGUGGUGAAAGAAGUGGGGGCCUGAGCGAGAGGAACAAAGAGAGAUGAGCACACUGCAGCAGCCUAAGUCUGGUGGCCUGUAAUGAUGACAAGCACGAGAGGACUGGUUCCCAAUUAGUUUGACGUGGAAAAUGAUUCAAUUAGUGGAAGAGUCAUUUUGCAGCCAUUAAAAAAUAAUCAAGGACUUCAGAAUUUACUCAUUACUUAAGUAUAACCAAGAGUUCCUAAAAAGGGACAAUCUGCCAAAGUCACUGGCACAAAAAGAGGAAAAAAGUCAUCAGUUGGAAAUAAAAUCUUAUGACUUUCGGAUCCUAGGAUCUACCAGAUGUUCCUGCCAGGAAUAGGAAGACCGUCUUCCUCCCAUCAUGUGUCCUUCCCAAGGAGGCCCCGCAGUUAGCUUUGCAUGGAUGGAGCUAGUACCUGCAUGCUUAGCCACUCGAAGUGGCUACACGCGGGCUCUGCUAUUCGUUAAAGAUCAAGCUGCCAAUACGAGUGUGCUCGGAUUAGCCCUUCCUGUAACUGCACCAGUGCCUGUGUUUGCAUUCCUCCCAACUGAAAAUUUGUCAGAGAAGAAAGGCAUUAAACCUGUCACUGCAGAUAAAGAUCAGACAUUUGAUUUCAAACAGAAGAGGCAAACGCCCUACCUCGGGCUCUAUUAACUCUGGGGUAUACUGUUCUAAGUCAUGUGGGGAACUAGACAAUGUUGGGACGGGGAAAUAAAUUCAAGUCUCACUGCCA